AUGGAAGAAAAACUCGUCUCCACCGUCCAUACCUUUGUUGGCAAAAGGUCGAACACCUUGCGGUCGCGGUGGCGAAGCGGCCGCGAUGAUCACCUCGACGUAGCAGGGGUGGUUGCCGGCCGGCUACUGGCCGCUCUGGAGCUCUCGUCGGAAUCUGCCUCGGCCGCCGUGGUCCGUCGCCGGCAGUCGUGUCCCCUCCGGCACCGGCAAGGACGACGACGGCCAAAACUACGGCGAAAGCGCGGGCGUGGUGGCGGCCAUGUCCAGACGUGGUUUGGUAUGGACGGCGGGGGGGCUGCGCGGUGA
rnacentral:rRNA from 1 species